rnacentral:pre_miRNA from 1 species
AGCUAUUUACAUAGCCAAGGAUGACUUGCCUUCACCUUGUUAUUACUAUCUGCUGGUUAUGCCUACACAGAUUUCAGGUUCUGGGCAAGUUUUCCUUGACUAAGUAGUUUGCUCU